GGGAUUGCCCUAGUAACGGCGAGUGAAGCGGCAACAGCUCAAAUUUGAAAUCUGGCUUCGGCCCGAGUUGUAAUUUGUAGAGGAAGCUUUAGGCGCGGCACCUUCUGAGUCCCCUGGAACGGGGCGCCACAGAGGGUGAGAGCCCCGUAUAGUUGGAUGCCUAGCCUGUGUAAAGCUCCUUCGACGAGUCGAGUAGUUUGGGAAUGCUGCUCAAAAUGGGAGGUAAAUUUCUUCUAAAGCUAAAUACCGGCCAGAGACCGAUAGCGCACAAGUAGAGUGAUCGAAAGAUGAAAAGCACUUUGAAAAGAGGGUUAAAUAGCACGUGAAAUUGUUGAAAGGGAAGCGCUUGUGACCAGACUUGCGCCGGGCGGAUCAUCCGGUGUUCUCACCGGUGCACUCCGCCCGGCUCAGGCCAGCAUCGGUUCUCGCGGGGGGAUAAAGGCCCCGGGAACGUAGCUCCUCCGGGAGUGUUAUAGCCCGGGGCGUAAUGCCCUCGCGGGGACCGAGGACCGCGCAUCUGCAAGGAUGCUGGCGUAAUGGUCACCAGCGACCCGUCUUGAAACACGGACCAAGGAGUCAAGGUUUUGCGCGAGUGUUUGGGUGUAAAACCCGCACGCGUAAUGAAAGUGAACGUAGGUGAGAGCUUCGGCGCAUCAUCGACCGAUCCUGAUGUAUUCGGAUGGAUUUGAGUAGGAGCGUUAAGCCUUGGACCCGAAAGAUGGUGAACUAUGCUUGGAUAGGGUGAAGCCAGAGGAAACUCUGGUGGAGGCUCGCAGCGGUUCUGACGUGCAAAUCGAUCGUCAAAUCUGAGCAUGGGGGCGAAAGACUAAUCGAACCAUCUAGUAGCUGGUUACCGCCGAAGUUUCCCUCAGGAUAGCAGUGUUGAUCUCAGUUUUAUGAGGUAAAGCGAAUGAUUAGGGACUCGGGGGCGCUUUUUAGCCUUCAUCCAUUCUCAAACUUUAAAUAUGUAAGAAGCCCUUGUUACUUAGCUGAACGUGGGCAUUCGAAUGUACCAACACUAGUGGGCCAUUUUUGGUAAGCAGAACUGGCGAUGCGGGAUGAACCGAACGCGGGGUUAAGGUGCCGGAGUGGACGCUCAUCAGACACCACAAAAGGCGUUAGUACAUCUUGACAGCAGGACGGUGGCCAUGGAAGUCGGAAUCCGCUAAGGACUGUGUAACAACUCACCUGCCGAAUGUACUAGCCCUGAAAAUGGAUGGCGCUCAAGCGUCCCACCCAUACCCCGCCCUCAGGGUAGAAACGAUGCCCUGAGGAGUAGGCGGCCGUGGAGGUCAGUGACGAAGCCUAGG
rnacentral:rRNA from 1 species